UACGGGGGGGGCAAGCGUUGUUCGGAAUUACUGGGCGUAAAGGGCUCGUAGGCGGCCAACUAAGUCAGACGUGAAAUCCCUCGGCUUAACCGGGGAACUGCAUCUGAUACUGGAUGGCUUGAGUUCGGGAGAGGGAUGCGGAAUUCCAGGUGUGGCGGUGAAAUGCGUAGAUAUCUGGAGGAACACCGGUGGCGAAGGCGGCAUCCUGGACCGACACUGACGCUGAGGAGCGAAAGCCAGGGGAGCAAACGGG
rnacentral:rRNA from 1 species